rnacentral:rRNA from 1 species
UACGAAGGGGGCUAGCGUUGUUCGGAAUUACUGGGCGUAAAGCGCACGUAGGCGGAUAUUUAAGUCAGGGGUGAAAUCCCGCAGCUCAACUGCGGAACUGCCUUUGAUACUGGGUAUCUCGAGUAUGGAAGAGGUGAGUGGAAUUGCGAGUGUAGAGGUGAAAUUCGUAGAUAUUCGCAGGAACACCAGUGGCGAAGGCGACUCACUGGGCCAUUACUGACGCUGAGGAGCGAAAGCGUGGGGAGCGAACAGG